rnacentral:rRNA from 1 species
UACAGAGGUCCCGAGCGUUGUUCGGAUUCACUGGGCGUAAAGGGUGCGCAGGUGGGCUGGUAAGUUCGAUGUGAAAGCCCCGGGCUUAACCCGGGAACGGCAUUGGAUACUACUGGUCUGGAGGAUUGGGGGGGGGACUGGAAUUCUUGGUGUAGCAGUGAAAUGCGUAGAUAUCAAGAGGAACACCAGUGGCGAAGGCGAGUCCCUGGACAAUACCUGACACUGAGGCACGAAAGCCGGGGGAGCAAACAGG